UAUGAACUACAAUAAAUAUUUCUAAAAAAUUUAAUUUUAUAAUACUUGUAAAAUGGGAGCAGCGCUGCCCCCGUGGGAUUUUGUGAUGGACGUUGUUGCACGUGGUUCCUUUGAUAGACACUAAUAUCCUGUAAAGUGCAUCUUCUCUUCUUUCAGGAACCCUUUGAAUUUGGAUUGGAAAUGGAAAACUUGAGCUAAAAAUUAAAUUCAGGUAAACUGAGUUCCUGGUAAGUUUCUAAACCACUCCUGAAUCCGACUGAAGGUCCUAGUGUGGAAGAAAUAUGAAUAUAAUAAUAUAUAGCAUAAAAUAUUUUUAUUCCAUCAUCAGUAAUAAUUACAGCCCACAUUUAGCAUAGACUGUACAAAAAAGUCCAAGUCUGAAAGGUGAAGCCAAAGCUGAAGUUCCUUAAACCUGCCAGCAGGGGGCGACUCCUGCUGUUGCAAAAAGAAGUCAUAUUGUCUAGAAAUCUAUGAGAAAAUGAACCACUUUGUCUGUUAGUAAAACAUUCUCCUAACAGGUUUAUGUCUUCAAUCACUAGUUUCACAUCCUCUUUAAUCCAACAUCAUGUUCCUUUGGUAAAUUAUGAUCCCAUCUGGAGGAAAAUAGACGAUAAAACACGAUAUGUUUUAGACUUUUUCCAUAACAAGAUCGUCUGUCUUUCUGUAUUUUAUUGGCAUUCUGUGAACUUCAAGGUCAAAAAUCUAAUUUAAACAUAUUCACAAAUAAAUUAAAGCUAUAAAAGACAUAGAGUCCAAAGUGAAGCAAAAGGCUGUUGUCAGCUUUUUGAACACUGUUUCAACCCUGUAUUUGUUUGCAUUUGUCGGUAGACGCUUUAACGUUAGCCGAAUUAGCUUUUAGCAGCACCUGUUUGUACUCACACAGAUGUACAAACUAUUACUGUGGAACCAAAGAAAGUUUUAAAAAGUGAUGGAUCUGAGGCAGGUUCCGAAGGCUCUUUAUUUAUUUACCCAUAAUUUCUGAGCAGGUUCAUUAGCUUUUUGAAUUCCCUGCUUCCCUCUGUACAAAUCUUGUCUGCAUUUGGCUUUAAUUGCACUUUUGUAGUGACUACAGGGUAUCAGUCCUGCCAACUAACAGUGAGUCUAUAAAAAGGUUUUUGGUGUCUCUGCUCAUAAAUAAAUAACCCUGUUUGUAUCACUUAUUUGUUCUUGUUUUCUGUCUGCAUUUCAGAUUCUUGCAGGACUCAAUGAAAGUCUUCCAAAGCUCCAGUUAACUCUCCAUCGUGUCUACAUCCAUCACAACAACAUCCAUCCGAUAAGACAAAGCUUCUCUUGUGAUUUCAAAUAUGGAAAGUUUUCAGAGGGAACAAUCCGAUAUCAAGCAUCAACAUGCAGAGCUCACACACUCUUUCUGUCACACUGGUGUUAGUGCUGGCAGGGUGUGUUGGUGACAGGCCUCCAGGACGUUGGCAGUGUGUGUUAAAAGCCAGAGUUAAGGUGUUUUUGCCGGGAGCUCCCGGUCGCUCUGGUUCUUACCACGCUUGGAGGAUUUACUGGGCAAAGAGGCUGAGCGCUGAGAGCCAUCUGAGAGCAGAGGACAGUGUCAGAAACACCAACCAACGCACUGAGGCCCAGCGCUUCAUCAACAGGUGAGCGAUACCAAACAUCAGCCGCACACCGACCAACACAGAACAAUCCCUACUGAUGUGGCUCCACACUGACGAAUGUUCAGCUCAUUUUACAGAGUCUCUUUAGACGGAUUCUUGGUUUUGUGAUGAAUUGUAGCUGGACAGAUUUUCUUCAGGCUAUGCUUCCACUUUCAGGUCUGUCUACAACAACAUAGAUUAUACACAGUAAGUAAUAAAUGGUAAUUAUGGGCCAGAUGUUCUGUCUAAAUGUAUGUCGAGUUUGAGUUGAAGCUAGCCUUGUUAGCAGGUAUGUUUAAAGAAGGCCAAACUAGAAAAAACGAGCUAUAAUUAGAGCUGUCUCCAGGUCAGCGGGUCGAUUGGUUGGUCGAUAUGCUUUCAUUAAUCACUCGUCUCAUGACCUACACCUCACACCAGCUGCUUUGGCUUCAAACUAAAAAAACAAGAGGAAUUUUUUAAAAUUGAAUUUGCAUUUCUGUGUUAUUGUGUUCUUGCAAUGUGCACAAUAAGUUCAUCCAUAGGCUUUAAACGGUGCAGGUUUAGAACAAAGGUUAGGUGCUGUAUCUGGUCCAGCUUUGGAAUGAAGAUGCUCACAGGGUCUAAGAAUCAGACUAAUUCCUGGGUAGGUUUUCUGUGGGUCAGAUGAGAAGAAUCUGGGGUCCCAAUGAAAUCGCAAUGUGAGGGAUAACCUCCUUUACCAGUAUUCAUUUUUGACAGUUUGGCCAAUAUUUGUGUAAUACUUCUGUCACUGAAACAGGAAACACUCUUUUAAGAUGCAUUUUUACAUUGAAUUUUUUGCACAGUUACUUUUUUCAUGUUGAAUACAAUCUUUUUAAUUUUUUCCCCUUAUGUUUCUCUUUACUUUCAUAAAGAGAAAGGCUCUACAUCAGCAGCCUCCCAGGAUGAAUCCAUUAUUUUUGGCAGAGGGAGGAACAGACUACCUGUUAGGACCCCCAUGCUUUCACGGUUUUUGUAAUGGGACUGUUUACUCGGAGUCGGCUCCAAAAUAACUGACACCGUUUGAAAGAAGUCUUCAGCGUUUCUGCAUUUUGUUCAAACUGAUGGCUAAAAAAGUGGAGUGUGAACUUUCCAAAUAUCAGUUUUUUAUAUCACAGCUCAACAACCAACAUAACGGAUCAUCUACAAACAGUAGCUAACUUCUCUGUGUUUUAUUCUUCAAUAGUUCCUGUGCUGGAAACAUAAGUUUAAAUAGUUCUUUUUUCAGGUGAUAUAUAAACAUUGGCAGCUGGUCUGCUCCGAGGCCAUUGUUAACCUUUCAGUAUUAAAUCACAAGAUUCAAAUGAUAUAAUAUGCUGCAAAUGCUAGCUUCUUAUGUUAAUUUAGAAUCAAUUUAGCUACUAAAACGAGCGGGUAGCGUGAACUCAUUGCUCAUUUAGUUAAUCUACAUAGAAUGUCCACAUUGGUUGAAGAGUAGGUGUGAUUUCAGUCAAUAGAGAUUUUCUCUGCUUUAUUACAGCCCUAAAUGUGUCCAGUUUGCCUCGAAAAUGCCCCAAAUUUAGCCAAUUACAGCUCCACAACUGAGGACAAAAUGAACAGACAUAUCAGAACUGUAAUAUUAAUUGUUCAAACACCUCCCUGUGUUAUCCAGUGUUCUCUCAGCCAGCUGCAUACUGUCAUGUUACAUGAAUUAAUUUUUUGUUGUCCUUUUGUUUGAGGUUUAUCACUUCUUUGAUUACAUCACCUUCUUGCAUCUUGCUCUUCUGCAGCGGCAUAAUGACAUCUUUAUAUUAAUAUAGCAGUAGUGGAUGAAAACCUGCAUACAUUUGCAUUUUAUUUAGCAGACUUUCAGAAUGUUCAGUUAAAACGUUUGACCACAUUUAGAUGGAAACUAGCUAUUGAUGCUGUUGAAGCUGUCCUUAAACUUUUCAACUACAACUCUACCAUAUUUGAUUAUACUGAAAUAAAGAUUUUAGUCACUGGGUGGCUUGAUGUUCACGAUUGUGACCUUCUCUAAAUAGCAGCUGGAGUCGUGUUUUGGGAGGAAACCUUUACCUCUUUUUUCACUGUUGUUAUAAAACUAUAACUCUAAGUUUUCCUGGCUGCAGAAUUUCCUGAUAACAGCAUUUAACGCUAGUUUUGGUCUCUAGACAAGAAGCCCAGAGUGCUGAAUUUAGCAUUUUGGUAACCGUUUACUGGCGAGACAUUUUAUCCCGAAGACUCUGAGGAACAGGCUGAACAUUCACUGUGGCAGAUAUUUUUCUUUAAAAAUCCAUCUCCCACUGCCUACACAUGUACAACCUCAUAUGUAAACACACACAGAAGGCGAUCCGGUUCACAUGUCUGUAGAGCUGUUAGGUGUUUUAGUACAUUUCAUUGAACACAUGCAGAGUCUCAGACUGCAAAGACAUCAACAAACACCGUCACUGUUUGCUCGCUCGUGUCGCAUGCUUCAGUACAUUUUCAGUCCCGAGAGAGAAUGGCAGCUCACCCAGAACCAUCAGCACACACCUGACAACUGGAUCCCAAAGCUGGUUUUACCCAGACGCCAGUUCUUCACACUGUAUAUAUGAGUGUUUUGUGUGUGUGUGCAUGGUUCUGGGUUUUCAUUCAGCAUGCGAGUCAUUCAGUCCAUCCAAGAGGCGUUAAGCUGUGGAUGACGAGAAGCGGGGUGGCAUGGAGAGGCAGGCCAGAGAGAGAGAUCAGAUAGAUAGAUAGAGAUGUGGGUUAUUGGCACAUCUACACGGUGGUUUGGUGGCAGCUGAGGUUGUGCAAACAGUUCCUGAUAACAGUUCCCAUCUGUGGCAGGCCAGACUGGUGCUACUGGGCCAGUCAGUGUGGUUUAAUGGCCGCUUUCCUCCCAGUUGUGUGUUCUCGUGUGCGCUCUAAGAGGGACGGUUUGUGUUUGGGUUGUAGUUGCGCUGCUUCACCACCAGAGGGGACCAUUAUCAAGUAAAUAACCACAGAUAGGACGACAAACAGAACUAAUAACAAGGACAGCUGGAGAACACACAGUCACUCGUUCUUUUCUUCCAUAUUUUCCAUCUAUAUAUAUAGGCAGCCCCGAAAAUACCCAAUCAUGUCCAGGAAGAGCUCAGAGAGAAUUGUGGGAUUCUGUGUUUCAAAAGUGCAGAAAAUUCUGAAUGUGUUCUGACACCUUUCGCCCUCUUUAGAGACAAAAAUGCUCCAUGCACAACACGUGUAGAGUUGUGUAAA